AGCCUGUAAUUCUAUAUAUCAAGGAAGAAAAGAGAGCUGAAGAAAAACAUAUCAUUCACUGAUUAAGGAGAGCACAAAGUCAUUGCGAUUUGCGUUAUGCAAGUUUCUGUUUUCCGGUGAUGAAAGCUAGACAUCAAAUUCGCCCGUUUGAACCUUGAGUCCUUUGAUAUAAAAGACGAGUUGUGGGAGUGUGUGAGAGUAGAGAGGGAGAGAGU